GACGGAAGGUGCAAGCGUUGCUCGGAAUCACUGGGCGUAAAGGGUGCGUAGGCGGCUUGGUAAGUUGGGUGUGAAAGCCCCGGGCUCAGCCCGGGAAGGGCACUCGAAACUGCCGAGCUGGAGUGCCGGAGGGGAGAGUGGAAUUCCUGGUGUAGCGGUGAAAUGCGUAGAUAUCAGGAGGAAUACCGGUGGCGAAGGCGGCGACCUGGGUAGAUACUGACGCUGAGGCGCGAAAGCGUGGGGAGCAAACAGG
rnacentral:rRNA from 1 species